UAUUAGAUAUUACUGAACUCAUUUAUGGGAGCUUAUAAACACUUGAUAUUUUUCCUCAGUGAAUUUGCAUAUGAUGUUCUGCCAAACGAUAUGUGCAGUGAUUCUGUUGAUUGUAAAAUAUAAUUUAUGUUCUGCUUGUGAUGAGACUGAAUAUGAAAUAGAUGGAAAAUGCUGUCCCAUGUGUCCACCUGGAACUAAGGUUUCCAGACAUUGUACAAUGUACACCAGUACUUUAUGUGUACCAUGUACCGGAUCCACUUUCACCGACAAACCAAACAGACAUCGUAUUUGUAAUACCUGUACAACCUGUA